CCUACGGGAGGCAGCAGUGGGGAAUAUUGCACAAUGGGGGAAACCCUGAUGCAGCCAUGCCGCGUGUAUGAAGAAGGCCUUCGGGUUGUAAAGUACUUUCAGUCGUGAGGAAGGUGGUGUUGUUAAUAGCAGCAUCAUUUGACGUUAGCGACAGAAGAAGCACCGGCUAACUCCGUGCCAGCAGCCGCGGUAAU
rnacentral:rRNA from 1 species